GGGUGAGUAACACGUGGGUAACCUGCCUUAAAGUGGGGGAUAACACUUGGAAACAGGUGCUAAUACCGCAUAACCAUCAAAACCGCCUGGUUUUGAUGUUAAAGAUGGUUCUGCUAUCGCUUUAAGAUGGACCCGCGGCGUAUUAGCUAGUUGGUGAGGUAAUGGCUUACCAAGGCAAUGAUACGUAGCCGAACUGAGAGGUUGAUCGGCCACAUUGGGACUGAGACACGGCCCAAACUCCUACGGGAGGCAGCAGUAGGGAAUCUUCCACAAUGGACGAAAGUCUGAUGGAGCAACGCCGCGUGAGUGAAGAACGUUUUCGGAUCGUAAAACUCUGUUGUCAGAGAAGAACGUGUGUGAGAGUAACUGUUCACGCAGGGACGGUAUCUGACCAGAAAGUCACGGCUAACUACGUGCCACCACCCGCGGUAAUACAUAGGUGGCAAGCGUUGUCCGGAUUUAUUGGGCGUAAAGGGAACGCAGGCGGUCUUUUAAGUCUGAUGUGAAAGCCUU
rnacentral:rRNA from 1 species